rnacentral:piRNA from 1 species
UGACACAAAAAGGGGCAUAUGUGCAUGGU